rnacentral:misc_RNA from 1 species
UCCGGUUUGUCACCGGCGGUCUCCUUAGAGUUCCCAACUUAAUGAUGGCAACUAAGGAUAAGGGUUGCGCUCGUUACGGGACUUAACCCAACAUCUCACAACACGAGCUGACGACAGCCAUGCAGCACCUGUCUCUAGGUUCCUUUCGGCACUCCCGCAUCUCUGCAGGAUUCCUAGGAUGUCAAGGGUAGGUAAGGUUCUUCGCGUUGCAUCGAAUUAAACCACAUGCUCCACCGCUUGUGCGGGCCCCCGUCAAUUCCUUUGAGUUUUAACCUUGCGGCCGUACUCCCCAGGCGGAGAACUUAUCGCGUUUGCUUCGAUACUAAUGCGCUCGCGCGCACCAACAUCUAGUUCUCAUCGUUUACAGCGUGGACUAC